UACGUAGGGAGCGAGCGUUGUCCGGAAUCAUUGGGCGUAAAGAGCGUGUAGGCGGCUCGGUAAGUCCGCUCUGAAAGCCCGGGGCUCAACCCCGGGAGGCGGGCGGAUACUGUCGGGCUAGAGUCCGGAAGGGGCGAGUGGAAUUCCUGGUGUAGCGGUGAAAUGCGUAGAUAUCGGGAGGAACACCUGUGGCGAAAGCGGCUCACUGGACCACAACUGACGCUGAUGCGCGAAAGCUAGGGGAGCAAACAGG
rnacentral:rRNA from 1 species